AAACUUUCAACGGCGGAUCUCUUGGUUCUGGCAUCGAUGAAGAACGCAGCAAAAUGCGAUAAGUAAUGUGAAUUGCAGAAUUCAGUGAAUCAUCGAAUCUUUGAACGCACAUUGCGCCCGCCAGUAUUCUGGCGGGCAUGCCUGUUCGAGCGUCAUUU
rnacentral:rRNA from 1 species